rnacentral:rRNA from 1 species
UACGUAGGGGGCAAGCGUUGUCCGGAAUCAUUGGGCGUAAAGCGCGUGUAGGCGGUCCGGUAAGUCCGCUGUGAAAGUCGGGGGCUUAACCCUCGGAUGCCGGUGGAUACUGUCGGGCUUGAGUACGGAAGAGGCGAGUGGAAUUCCUGGUGUAGCGGUGAAAUGCGCAGAUAUCAGGAGGAACACCAAUUGCGAAGGCAGCUCGCUGGGACGUUACUGACGCUGAGGUGCGAAAGCGUGGGGAGCAAACAGG